CACGUAGGGUGCGAGCGUUGUCCGGAAUUAUUGGGCGUAAAGAGCUCGUAGGCGGUGUGUCACGUCGGCCGUGAAAACCUGCAGCUUAACUGUGGGCGUGCGGUCGAUACGGGCAUCACUGGAGUUCGGCAGGGGAGACUGGAAUUCCUGGUGUAGCGGUGAAAUGCGCAGAUAUCAGGAGGAACACCGGUGGCGAAGGCAGGUCUCUGGGCAUUAACUGACGCUGAGGAGCGAAAGCAUGGGGAGCGAACAGG
rnacentral:rRNA from 1 species